UUUUGGACAAUGGGCGCAAGCCUGAUCCAGCCAUUCCGCGUGAGUGAAGAAGGCCUUCGGGUUGUAAAGCUCUUUCGCAAGGGAAGAAAACUUACUUUCUAAUAAAGAGUGAGGUUGACGGUACCUUGAUAAGAAGCACCGGCUAACUACGUGCCAGCAGCCGCGGUAAUACGUAGGGUGCGAGCGUUAAUCGGAAUUACUGGGCGUAAAGCGUGCGCAGGCGGCUUUGUAAGUCAGAUGUGAAAUCCCCGAGCUCAACUUGGGAACUGCGUUUGAAACUACAAGGCUAGAAUAUGUCAGAGGGGGGUAGAAUUCCACGUGUAGCAGUGAAAUGCGUAGAGAUGGGAGGAAUACCAAUGGCGAAGGCAGCCCCCUGGAUAAUAUUGACGCUCAUGCACGAA
rnacentral:rRNA from 1 species